CUUGGUCAUUUAGAGGAGUAAAAGUCGUAACAAGGUUUCCGUAGGUGAACCUGCGGAAGGAUCAUUAUCGAAAUUAUUGGUGAGGGUUGUAGCUGGCCUUUCGAGGCAUGUGCACGCUCGAGCCCUUAAUCCACUUUACACCUGUGCACUUAAUGUAGGUCGCCCUUAAAAAAGGUGACCUAUGUCUUAUCAUCAACCCAUCGUAUGUCUCAUAGAAUGUAAUCGAUAUCCUCGCCCUGAAAAAGCGUUGAUAAACUUAUACAACUUUCAACAACGGAUCUCUUGGCUCUCGCAUCGAUGAAGAACGCAGCGAAAUGCGAUAAGUAAUGUGAAUUGCAGAUUUUCAGUGAAUCAUCGAAUCUUUGAACGCACCUUGCGCUCCUUGAUAUUCCGAGGAGCAUGCCUGUUUGAGUGUCAUUAAAUUCUCAACUCCAAGGGUUUCACGACCUUUCGGAGAUUGGACUUGGAGGUGCUGGCCGCAUAUUGGUCGGCUCCUCUCAAAUGCAUCAGCGGAAUUCAACCUUUGGCUUCCGGAUGUCAGUGUGAUAAUCAUGUUGCGCUGUCGUUUGAUCCCUCAGAGUCCGCUUAUAAUGGUCUUCGGACAAAAUCAUCAUCAAAUUUGACCUCAAAUCAGGUAGGACUACCCGCUGAACUUAAGCAUAUCAAUAAGCGGAGGA
rnacentral:rRNA from 1 species